rnacentral:snoRNA from 1 species
AUCCCAUGGUGUGGACACUUUCGCAGCAUAUUCUUGAACCGAUUCCAGGUUUCAUCAAAUUUUCAGAGUUGCCUUGGCGAAAAACAGAGAUGUCGUGCUUGAGCUU